GAUGAAGAACGUAGCAAAAUGCGAUAAGUAAUGUGAAUUGCAGAAUUCAGUGAAUCAUCGAAUCUUUGAACGCACAUUGCGCCCGCCAGUAUUCUGGCGGGCAUGCCUGUUCGAGCGUCAUUUCAACCCUCAAGCCCUCGGGUUUGGUGUUGGGGAUCGGCGAGCCUUUCUGGCAAGCCGGCCCCGAAAUCUAGUGGCGGUCUCGCUGCAGCCUCCAUUGCGUAGUAGUAAAACCCUCGCAACUGGAACGCGGCGCGGCUAAGCCGUUAAACCCCCAACUUCUGAACGUUGACCUCGAAUCAGGUAGGACUACCCGCUGAACUUAAGCAUAUCAAUAAGCGGAGGA
rnacentral:misc_RNA from 1 species